rnacentral:rRNA from 1 species
AGAGUUUGAUUAUGGCUCAGAACGUACGCUGGCGGCACGCCUAACACAUGCAAGUCGAGCGGGGUAGCAAUACCUAGCGGCAGACGGGUGCGUAACAUGUGGGAAUCUGCCUUUUGGUUCGGAACAACACGGGGAAACCUGUGCUAAUACCGGAUAAGUCCUUACGGAGAAAGUUUUAAUGCCAAAAGAUGAGCCCGCAUUUGAUUAGCUAGUUGGUGAGGUAAGAGCUCACCAAGGCGAUAAUCAAUAGCUGAUUUGAGAGGAUGAUCAGCCACACUGGGACUGAGAUACGGCCCAGACUCCUACGGGAGGCAGCAGUGGGGAAUCUUGCACAAUGGGCGAAAGCCUGAUGCAGCGAUGCCGCGUGAGUGAAGAAGGCCUUUGGGUUGUAAAGCUCUUUUGUCGGGAAAGAUAAUGACUGUACCCGAAGAAUAAGGUCCGGCUAACUUCGUGCCAGCAGCCGUGGUAAUACGAAGGGACCUAGCGUAGUUCGGAAUUACUGGGCGUAAAGAGUAUGUAGGCGGCUAGAUAAGUUAAUUGUGAAAGCCCAAAGCUUAACUUUGGAAUUGCAAUUAAAACUAUUUAGCUAGAGUAUGAUAGAGGAAAGCGGAAUACAUAGUGUAGAGGUGAAAUUCGUAGAUAUUAUGUAGAACACCAGUUGCGAAGGCGGCUUUCUGGAUCAUCACUGACGCUGAGAUACGAAAGUAUGGGUAGCGAAGAGGAUUAGAUACCCUCGUAGUCCAUACCAUAAACGAUGAUUAUUAGAUGUGGGGGAAUUAUUUCUCUGUAUCAUAGCUAA